UUGUUGGUAAGGUAAAAGCUUACCAAGGCUUCGAUCAGUAGCUGGUCUGAGAGGACGACCAGCCACACUGGGACUGAGACACGGCCCAGACUCCUACGGGAGGCAGCAGUGGGGAAUUUUGGACAAUGGGGGCAACCCUGAUCCAGCCAUGCCGCGUGAGUGAAGAAGGCCUUCGGGUUGUAAAGCUCUUUCAGCCGGAACGAAACGGUUACGGAUAAUACCCGUGACUACUGACGGUACCGGAAGAAGAAGCACCGGCUAACUACGUGCCAGCAGCCGCGGUAAUACGUAGGGUGCAAGCGUUAAUCGGAAUUACUGGGCGUAAAGCGUGCGCAGGUGGUUUUGUAAGUCAGAUGUGAAAGCCCCGGGCUCAACCUGGGAACUGCGUUUGAAACUACAAGACUAGAGUGUGGCAGAGGGGGGUGGAAUUCCGCGUGUAGCAGUGAAAUGCGUAGAGAUGUGGAGGAACACCGAUGGCGAAGGCAGCCCUCUGGGUUAACACUGACACUCAGGCACGAAAGCAUGGGGAGCAAACAGGAUUAGAUACCCUGGUAGUCCAUGCCCUAAACGAUGUCAACUAGUUGUCGGGCCUUUACGGGCUUGGUAACGUAGCUAACGCGUGAAGUUGACCGCCUGGGGAGUACGAUCGCAAGAUUAAAACUCAAAUGAAUUGACGGGGACCCGCACAAGCGGUGGAUUAUGUGGAUUAAUUCGAUGCAACGCGAAAAACCUUACCUACCCUUGACAUGUAUCGAAGCCCGCAGAAAAGCGGGGGUGCCCGAAAGGGAACGAUAACACAGGUGCUGCAUGGCUGUCGUCAGCUCGUGUCGUGAGAUGUUGGGUUAAGUCCCGCAACGAGCGCAACCCUUGUCAUUAAUUGCCAUCAUUUAGUUGGGCACUUUAAUGGGACUGCCGG
rnacentral:rRNA from 1 species